UUUGAUUUAGAUUCUCAGGCUUUUUCCCUGUAACAACCUUUUUCAAGCCAUUUUGAACUAGAAUUGCCAUCAUCUGAACUUGCCGCAGAUUGAAAUUUGUCUCACCAUCGAACUUCUCAAUUUCAAACCUUGUUGCUGCCAUCUCUGACCGGGCUGAUCUAUGAAAGUUAAACUAGCUCUGAUACCACUUGUUAGGAUCGUCCCUAUUAAGCAACGAACAAGUAAAAAUAGUAGAAGAAAUUGAGAAGAUGAAGACACAAAUUUAACGUGG
rnacentral:lncRNA from 1 species